GACGAACGCUGGCGGCGUGCCUAAUACAUGCAAGUAGAACGCUGAAGGCGGAUCUUGCUUCUCUGGAUGAGUUGCGAACGGGUUAGUAACGCGUUGGUAACCUGCCUGCUAGCGGGUGAUAACUAUUGGAAACGAUAGCUAAUACCGCAUAAUAGCAGAUGUUGCAUGACAUUUGCUUAAAAGGUGCAAUUGCAUCACUACCAGAUGGACCUGCGUUGUAUUAGCUAGUUGGUGGGGUCACGGCUCACCAAGGCGACGAUACAUAGCAGACCUGCGAGGGUGAUCAGCCACACUGAGACGGAGACACGGCACAGAGGCAUACGGGAGGCAGCAGGAGGGAAUCUGGGGCAAUGGACGGAAGUCUGAGCGAGAAACGCGGAGUGAGUGAAGAGGGUUUUCGGAUCGUAAAGCUCUGUUGUAAGAGAAGAACGAGCGUGAGAGUGGAAAGUUCAGACUGUGACGGUAUUUUACCAGAAAGGAACGGCUAACUACGUG
rnacentral:rRNA from 1 species